CCCGUCGGCGCCAAGCACCAACAGCUUCCCUGACCAUCCUUCGCCACCAGACACAAGCAUGGUCGAACAACAGCAACGGCACCGCGUCGGCGAGCUGCCCGUGAUGGACCAUGGCAGAGAGGAACGCGUUCAUCAGGAAGACGUUGGACUCAAAGCCAAGCCGCACAGCCAGAGCGUACAGCUGACCGCCGGACCGACCAACGAGCGAUCCCAAUCAGGGGUUAUUUGUAAAUAUUUGGACCGAUUCGUAAAUAUUUUUUAUAGCAGACAUCAUCGCUGCCGUCGGACCAACGGCUCGCCGCAGCAACUUCUCUCCUCUCCACCGGCCGCCUCGAUCCCCUUCUCCGCAGCGCCUUCCUGGAGAUUCCGGGAUCAGAAUCGGCAUGAGCAUAAACAACGUCUGUGAAGUGUGCGGAAAUAUUGGUUACAAGCAUCUCCUGAUCUGUUACAGAGAUUGCAAGUGUUCUGUGGUGCACCUAUACUGUUUGGAUGAAGUUAUCUUUGAUGCAUCAUUAGCAGAGUGGUGGUGUUAUGAAUGCCAUCAAAGGCGUGGUGAAGUUACAUCAUGCAGCGGAUCUCUAGAGAAGGUGACAAGUGAAAGGUCACUAAGUUAUGCUCAUUUUGGUUCUGCCGUACAUCAACCAGUUACCAAGAGAGUGAAGUCAGCAAGGAAAGCAGGGCCUGGAGGAAAAAGAAAAGAAUAUAUUCCCUCUGCAAACUAUUCUUUGGAGCCGGAUGAUAUUCAGGCACCCCCAAAAGGCUGAUUAUGUUUUAUCAUAUAGAAGUAUUCUAUCUGAAGCACAAAAGGAGAGAGUAAUUGCAUUUAUCCAGGAAAUUCAACCUAAAAUCACUGUUUUUGUAGCAGUCAUGCAAAAGAGGAAUAUUCAACCCCCGGGACCUUUCCUGGGUAUUUCCAAGGAUUAUGCAUUUCCACAUUUCCCACAUAGAAGCACAAAUGUCACACUUCAGACGCCUAGCAAGAGGAGCGAGUGGCAUCCUAAAUUCUACAAAAGAAAUGCCAGUCGAAAGAACAUGCUUAUGGGGCAGUGGUUAGAUUUUGUCCGUGACAAUCGUGUGCAGGAGGGAGAUAUUUGCCUUCUUUUUCCAGCAGAGGGUGGGAAAAGAUAUACAUAUACGGUCUAUCUACUUUGUGCAUCAGCAACUCAUUCCAUUGGUAGAGCUGGUUUUCAAAUAGUUUGCCCAUGCCCUGGUCGAUCUAGUGCAAAGAUGGCUUCUGAAGUGCACAUUAUGGAGGAACCCACAAAUGGUAUUAGAAACAUAUUUACAAAUUUAGUAGGAUUUUAGAUGGUCCCUUUCGUAUGGCCCAAAACUGUCUGCAGACGAAUCUUUGGAGAGUGAAGACUCUGGUGGUUCAUUGCAGCCUCUGUACAUUGUACCAUGCAGGAAUUAUCUAUCUAAAUCCCAAAAGAAGAUAGUUGAAGAGCGAGUACAAGCCAUCCAAUCCGAAGUUCCUAUUUGUGUAGCAGUAAUGAAGAAUAACAAUGUUGGUGAUGCUCAGAAGUGGAUGCUAGAAUUAGGUGUUCGGUAUGCUGCUGUACAUCUUCCAGCUAGCGGGCAAGCUGUGGUGCUCGAGUGCAUGGGGAAGACAUGGAAAACCCAGAUGGUGAUUCAUAAUGGUAGAAGGUGGUUUCUUAAUGGAGGUUGGGCCAAAUUUGCUCGUGACAAUGGUCUGCGAGUCGGUGACAUCUGUCUGUUCGAUCUAAAGUAGAACGCGAGGAAGCUUACCAUGAAGGUCCAUAUCAUCUCCAGGGAGCAGUUUAGUUUGAAGUAGAAGAAAAGUUGUGUUCUUGGUUGUUCAAAAAUUUGUAUAGGUGUUAUAACUUCGAGAAUUAUUAGAUUCUUUGCUACGAAAUACUCAUGGGCCUC